rnacentral:rRNA from 1 species
AGAGUUUGAUCAUGGCUCAGGAUGAACGCUAGCGGCAGGCUUAACACAUGCAAGUCGAACGGGAUAAGGUAGCAAUAUCUUUGAGAGUGGCGCACGGGUGAGUAACGCGUAUGCAACCUACCCAUAACUGGGGGAUAGCCCGGCGAAAGUCGGAUUAAUACCCCAUAACAUUAUGAAGUGGCAUCAUUUUAUAAUUAAAACUCCGGUGGUUAUGGAUGGGCAUGCGUGCCAUUAGCUAGUUGGUGAGGUAACGGCUCACCAAGGCUACGAUGGCUAGGGGGUCUGAGAGGAUGAUCCCCCACACUGGAACUGAGACACGGUCCAGACUCCUACGGGAGGCAGCAGUGAGGAAUAUUGGUCAAUGGGGGCAACCCUGAACCAGCCAUGCCGCGUGAAGGAUGACUGCCCUAUGGGUUGUAAACUUCUUUUGUAUGGGACGAAACCCCCGCUCGUGAGCGGGGCUGACGGUACCGUACGAAUAAGCAACGGCUAACUCCGUGCCAGCAGCCGCGGUAAUACGGAGGUUGCAAGCGUUAUCCGGAUUUAUUGGGUUUAAAGGGUGCGUAGGCGGGGCCAUAAGUCAGUGGUGAAAUACUGUCGCUUAACGAUAGCAUUGCCAUUGAUACUGUGGUUCUUGAGUGUAGUUGAGGUAGGCGGAAUGUGUAGUGUAGCGGUGAAAUGCUUAGAUAUUACACAGAACACCGAUUGCGUAGGCAGCUUACUAAACUAUAACUGACGCUGAGGCACGAAAGCGUGGGGAUCAAACAGGAUUAGAUACCCUGGUAGUCC